rnacentral:rRNA from 1 species
AAUCUGCCGGAAGGAAGGGGAUAGCCCAUGGAAACGUGGAUUAAUACCCUGUGUGGUUCUAGGAGGCAUCUUCUAGCAACUAAACGUGGCGCAAGCUGCGGCCUUCUGAUGAGUUCGCGGCCUAUCAGCUUGUUGGCGGGGUAACGGCCCACCAAGGCGAUGACGGGUAGCUGGUCUGAGAGGAUGACCAGCCACACUGGAACUGAGACACGGUCCAGACACCUACGGGUGGCAGCAGUCGAGAAUCAUUCACAAUGGGCGAAAGCCUGAUGGUGUGACGCCGCGUGGAG